rnacentral:lncRNA from 10 species
UGAAAUAAGAUCAUCAGGAACAAAGAAAGGAGUAUUUCAGAAUAUAUUCAGUUGAUUCCAGAGGUAGCCAAUCCUGCUUGAUUGAAUGUUUGCAAAAUUCAAUUCUCUGUUUGCAGAUUUAGGUACAGCAGGUCUUUGAAUAACAGUCAUUUCAUUCAACAUUGUUUCCUUAUAACGUUGAUGAGAAAAAAAGAAUAUAUAUAUACAUAUAUAUUCCCACUGGGGUUCACUGUCUGGGUAGAGUCUACAUGUUUUCCCCAGGUCUGGAUGGGUUUUUUUCUGGGUACCCAGGUCUCCCUGACAUUCCAAAGUUAUGCACAUUCAGUUCAUCUAAUGGUCCCAGUCAGAGUGAGUGCGGGGGGUCAGUGAGUACACCUGGUGAUACUACCUGUGUAGGGAUGGUUGUUUCCUGUCUGGUGUCCUAAGCUGCAGGGAGAAGCUCAGGCCACCUGCAACCCUAAACUGGAAUAAGCAGAGAUCUCGAUGGAAAGUUCAAGACAAAAUCAGUUUAAGAAUUUAGAAAAUCUUAUCGCUUCUCGGCCUUUUGGCUAAGAUCAAAUGAAGAAUUUAGAAAAUCUUGGGACUUCUUUAUUCCAUCUGUGCAUACGCCAUUUGAAUUUGAAAACAUUUUGAGGACUGUUUGAUGUGAAGUCUGAGCUGACACUAACAUCAGAGACAUGAAAUGCCAUUUUCAUCUUCUUAGUAGAGAGGGAACUUAUGAAGGGAAUAUUUCUUGAACAUCAAUGUGCAUACAAAUAACUUCAAGGUCUUCUGAAAUACAGAUUCUAUUUUUAUAGGACUGGGAUAGGUCCUGAAAGUCCUCAUGUCUAAUGCCUUCUCUGAUGAUGUUGAUGUUGCUGGUUCAUGGAUCACAGUUUAAACACAAAGGUCCUUCAGCAUUUAUAGCCUGAAUGACAAAAUUUUUCCUUUUUUCUUUUCACCCAUUGUUUCAUAUCCAUUAAAAAAACUCUAAAUUGAGAUAACAAAUUAUUUGUAUUGAAAUUGUAGAAAUUGUUUUAAAAAUAUUCCUGCAUCAACUAUUUUAGUCCUGAGCAUAUAAUAUUUGCUUAAUAAAAUUUGUGGACAAUUUGAAAAUAAAUCAACAAAGCUUAUUUAUUUCUUCAUUUAACUAAUAAUGUGUCAAAUAUUGUUUGAGAUGCUAGGGAAAGCAUUAUAAGGAAACAGGGUCUUUGUUAAAGAGGUGGUAGUCUGAGUUUAGACUUAAGGAAGUAGAUGGGUUAUUACAUGGUUUUUGAUUGCACUAGUAACUCAAACAUCACCCACUGUGCUGAAAACACAUUAAAGUAGACAUAUACUUCUGGAUUUCCUCAGGUUAUGUUUUAGUUUCUUGCAAACACUUCACCUGUAGAAGAAGCAGAGCAUUUCAGCCUUAAGAGAAAAAUAAAUUGAUCUUGGUCAAAAUAAAGAGAAUAUGAAUAUAGGAGUAAAAUAUUUAGAAAAGAUUAUAAAAUGUUGAAGAAUGUAUAUGAUGCUUUAAAAGAUUAUAGACAUUAAAAAUAUCAUACAGUCAGAAAGAUUUUCUAAAACUCACCUCUUUCUAGAGGCUAAAAGUAGAAAGAGCCUAUACAACUGGGAACAUUAUCUUUAUAAAGUGAAUUUCUAUUUUAAAAUGAGUUGUAAGCUUUGG